GUGCUUGCUUCGGCAGUUCAUAUAGUACAAUUGGAAUGAUAUGGAGAAGAUUAGCAUGGCCCUUGUGUAAGGAUGACAUGCAACUUUGUGAAGCAUCCUAUAUUUAU
ensembl:snRNA U6 U6 spliceosomal RNA